CAGGAGUAGCUUUGCUACUUUGCUGACGACCGGCGCACGGGUGCGUAACGCGUAUAGAAUCUACCUUGUACUAGGGGAUAGCCUUUGGAAACGAAGAUUAAUACCCUAUAGUAAGUAUUUAUGGCAUCAUUUAUACUUUAAAGGUUACGGUACAAGAUGACUAUGCGUCCUAUUAGUUUGUUGGUGAGGUAACGGCUCACCAAGACUUCGAUAGGUAGGGGCCCUGAGAGGGGGAUCCCCCACACUGGUACUGAGACACGGACCAGACUCCUACGGGAGGCAGCAGUGAGGAAUAUUGGACAAUGGAGGCAACUCUGAUCCAGCCAUGCCGCGUGCAGGAUGACGGCCCUAUGGGUUGUAAACUGCUUUUAUGUAGGAAGAAACACUCUCACGUGUGAGAGCUUGACGGUACUACAAGAAUAAGGACCGGCUAACUCCGUGCCAGCAGCCGCGGUAAUACGGAGGGUCCAAGCGUUAUCCGGAAUCAUUGGGUUUAAAGGGUCCGUAGGCGGGCUAUUAAGUCAGAGGUGAAAGUUUGCAGCUCAACUGUAAAAUUGCCUUUGAAACUGGUAGUCUUGAAUUAUUAUGAA
rnacentral:rRNA from 1 species